CCUACGGGAGGCAGCAGUGGGGAAUAUUGGGCAAUGGGCGCAAGCCUGACCCAGCAACGCCGUGUGAGGGAUGAAGGCCUUCGGGUCGUAAACCUCUGUCAGAAGGGAAGAAUGGGCAUAGUUCGAAUAGGGCUAUGUUGUGACGGUACCUUCAGAGGAAGCACCGGCUAACUCCGUGCCAGCAGCCGCGGUAAUACGGAGGGUGCGAGCGUUAUUCGGAAUCACUGGGCGUAAAGGGCGCGUAGGCGGUCUGGUAAGUAGGGGGUGAAAUCCCACGGCCCAACCGGGGAACUGCCUUUGAAACUGCUGGGCUUGGAUCCUGGAGAGGGUGGCGGAAUUCCUGGUGUAGGAGUAAAAUCCGUAGAUAUCAGGAGGAACACCGGUGGCGAAGGCGGCCACCGG
rnacentral:rRNA from 1 species